UAUUGAUGGUUUGAUAUGGUUUGGCUCCCCACCCAAUCUCAUUGUAAAUUGUGAUCCUGAGUGGGGCCUGGUCGGGGGUGACUGGAUCAUGGGGUGGUUUCUAAUGGUUUAGCACCCUCCCCCUAGUGCUGUCUCAUGAUAGAGUUCUCACAAGAUCUGCUUGUUUAAAAGUGUGUUCAUUUACAGGCCUUGUUAGAGGCGUCUGCAGGGACCCAGCAGGGAGCUAAGCCCACAGAAUUCUGUUUGGGCCUGUGGCUUGGGGUCCUGACGGGGCCACAGGACGGCAGUGCUGUCAGGCUCCUGAGAUGUUCUCUGAAGAGCUGGUCCCCAGGAGAGGCUGUGACCACGGGGCUCGGAAGGCCACCAGGGCAGGUGCACCCACAUGGAUGCUCAGUUGGAAAGGCUGGUGGAGGAGUGGCUCCCUCCUUCAAAACACAUUUGUGGUUGAGCUUCACCGCGCAGGCUGGUGCCCUUGUCCACAAAGGCCCCUGCUCCUGGAUCACCCCACAGGGCCCAGAGCCUUCAGCACCUGGGCUGAGCCACCACUCAGGGUCACACCCAUGGCUGGAGCUUCCGGCCACAGACACUGGGUGAUGCGGCCUCCUAGUCUCCCACCCAGCAGUGAAGGGCAGGGGCU
rnacentral:lncRNA from 1 species